rnacentral:rRNA from 1 species
AUUGAACGCUGGCGGCAUGCCUUGCACAUGCAAGUCGAACGGCAGCACGGGAGCGAUCCUGGUGGCGAGUGGCGAACGGGUGAGUAAUACAUCGGAACGUGCCCAGUAGUGGGGGAUAGCCCGGCGAAAGCCGGAUUAAUACCGCAUACGACCUGAGGGUGAAAGCGGGGGAUCGCAAGACCUCGCGCUAUUGGAGCGGCCGAUGUCGGAUUAGCUAGUUGGUGGGGUAAAGGCUCACCAAGGCAACGAUCCGUAGCUGGUCUGAGAGGACGACCAGCCACACUGGGACUGAGACACGGCCCAGACUCCUACGGGAGGCAGCAGUGAGGAAUUUUGGACAAUGGGCGCAAGCCUGAUCCAGCCAUGCCGCGUGCGGGAAGAAGGCCUUCGGGUUGUAAACCGCUUUUGUCAGGGAAGAAACGCUCUGGGCUAAUACCCCGGGGUAAUGACGGUACCUGAAGAAUAAGCACCGGCUAACUACGUGCCAGCCGCCGCCGUAAUAC